CCCUUAGAUGUUCUGGGCUGCACGCGCGCUGCACUGAUGCGAUCAACAAGUUUUUCCUAUGUCGAUAGACACGGGUAAUCUUUUGAACUCGCAUCGUGAUGGGGAUAGAUUAUUGUAAUUAUUAAUCUUCAACGAGGAAUUCCUAGUAGGUGCAAAUCAUCAGUUUGCAUCGAUUACGUCCCUGCCCUUUGUACACACCGCCCGUCGCUGCUACCGAUUGGUUGAUCUGGUGAAUUAUUCGGACUGCCGGCUGAAGGGGUUUCCUCAUCUGCCAGCGGAAAGUCUUGUUAACCCUAUCAACUAGAGGAAGCAGAAGUCGUAACA
rnacentral:rRNA from 1 species